AGCAGCGUGGCUCAGUGGAAAGAGCACGGGCUUGGGAGCCAGAGGUCAUGGGUUGGAAUCCCAACUCUGCCA
rnacentral:tRNA from 1 species